GUGCAUUGCACUGUGUCAUGUUAGAAGCCAAACAGUCCAGGCUGACAUACUGUGUGGCCAAGAGACACAUUUUGCCAAACACAAAAUUCCCUGCGUUUACAAUCAAAACUACCCCACCAUUUAUAACUCCCGCCAUCAUAAAAAGAAAUGAAGCACUAGUAUUUUAUCCCACAAGUCCUUGCAAUGCAGGUUUGCCUAAAUAUACAACAAGGCUAAGGGCAGAUUUAACAUUGUUUCUUGCACCAUGAAUGGCAUUGACUUAAAGGACCACUAUAGUGCCAGAAAAACAAACUCGUUUUCCUGGCACAAUAGUGCCCUGAGGGUGCCCUCACC